UCUCAGCUGAGGAAAACCCCCCCACCACCGGGCGCCAGGGCCCCGUGGAAACGCGGGCGGCG
rnacentral:ribozyme from 15 species